GACGAACCGUGCGAACGUUAUUCGGAAUCACUGGGCUUAAAGCGCGUGUAGGCGGGACGGCACGUCCGUCGUUGAAAGCCCCCGGCUCAACCGGGGAAUCGGCGCGGAUACGACCGUCCUCGAGGGGCGUAGGGGGACAGGGAACUUCCGGUGGAGCGGUGAAAUGCGUUGAGAUCGGAAGGAACACCCGUGGCGAAAGCGCUGUCCUGGACGCCUUGCUGACGCUGAGACGCGAAAGCUAGGGGAGCAAACGGG
rnacentral:rRNA from 1 species